GUUCUCUAGAUGGGAAAUUCAGAUUGGAGGCUCGCAUCGCCACCUAGUGUCCAUACACUGAAUGUUGCGAAGAGCCAUCUGGGAAACUGAAAAUGGGCAGGGUCUGCAGCUGCGCAGAAGAGGAGCCCCCAAAGGCCCUGUACAGGCGAGGCGGGCUGCUGGUACACGAGGGUCCUCCAUGUGGCUCAUGCUGCUGUUAAGCUUAUACAAGGCUUCCUCCCCAGGCUCCUGAAUAACUUGGACGAGAGCCACAGGCCAUCAUCCCCAACUGAUGAAUCAUUCACUAGUAAAAUCAUCUUAAAUUGGGCAUGGCAUUGAAGCCUAACAACAGCUAUGUGAGCUUAGAAGGGCAUCCAGACAAGCUGAUCCUUUGGUCAAGACCUCAGCUUUGACCAUGGUCAGCAUCUGAAUUUCUGGUCCAGAGAAAAUGUGAGUAAUCCUUGUGUGACCUUGAGUUCCUCAGCCAUAUGGUAAGUUAUGAUUCAAAGAUGCAUUAGAAUCAUAUCUAGAGGUAAGUCUAAUGUGUUUAGUAUCCUGGUUUAGAGUUAAGAAAUAGAAAAUAAUGGCACUCAUGGACAAUUGGUAAAUAGGUCAAAAUUCUGAAAUUUUCUAGUAGUUUUGUGCACUGCCAACUUCAUUGUAUACUCAAAAAUACCCUGACUAUAUAAGCCAUCCAUAUAAUAAAAAGUCAAGGGGCAUAUCAAAUUGU